rnacentral:rRNA from 1 species
GCAUGUGCCAGUGCAAGCGUUGUACACAGUGAAACUGCGAAUGGCUCAUUAAAUCAGUUGUGGUUCAUUGGAUCGUUCUACCGUGAGUGGAUAACCGCGGCAAAUCCGGGGCUAAUACAUGCACGCAGAUGCCUCGAUCCCUUCGCGGGGAGAGGGGCGCAGUUAUUAGACCAAGACCAACCGGCCGUUGGGCCCUCGCGGUCCUUCGGCCGACCGUUCUGUGGUGACUCUGGGUAACCUCGGGCUGAUCGCACGGCCUCCGCGCCGGCGACGUAUCUUUCAAAUGUCUGCCCUAUCAAAUGUCGAAGGGAGGUGCCUUGCCUCCCUUGUUGGCAACGGGUGACGGGGAAUCAGGGUUCGGUUCCGGAGAGGGAGCAUGAGAGUCGGCUACCACGUCCAAGGAAGGCAGCAGGCGCGCAAAUUACCCACUCCUGACACGGGGAGGUAGUGACGAAAACUAACGGUGCGGGACUCCGUUGAGGCUCCGCAACCGGAAUGAGUACACUUUAAAUCCUUGUAUCGAGGAUCCAUUGGAGGGCAAGUCUGGUGCCAGCAGCCGCGGUAAUUCCAGCUCCAAUAGCGUAUAUUAAAGUUGUUGCAGUUAAAAAGCUCGUAGUUGGAUCUCGGGUCGUUGGUAGUGGUUCAGGUUCCUGCCUGCUUACCACUGUUGAUACCUAACUGGUGGGACGCUGUGGGUGCCCUUAACUGGGUUGCCUACUGCACCCGCUCAAUUUACUUUGAAAAAAUUAGAGUGUUCAAGGCAGGCUCACACGCCUGAAUAAUGGUGCAUGGAAUAAUACAAUAGGAUCUCGGUUCUAUUUUGUUGGUUUCUGGAACUUGAGAUAAUGAUUAAGAGGGACAGACGGGGGCAUUCGUACUGUGGCGUUAGAGGUGAAAUUCUUGGAUCGCCGCAAGACGAACUACUGCGAAAGCAUUUGCCAAGAAUGUUUUCAUUAAUCAAGAACGAAAGUCAGAGGUUCGAAGACGAUCAGAUACCGUCCUAGUUCUGACCAUAAACGAUGCCGACUAGCGAUCUGCCGGAGUUGUAUCUAUGACCCGGCGGGCAGCUCCCGGGAAACCAAAGUCUUUGGGUUCCGGGGGAAGUAUGGUUGCAAAGCUGAAACUUAAAGGAAUUGACGGAAGGGCACCACCAGGAGUGGAGCCUGCGGCUUAAUUUGACUCAACACGGGGAAACUCACCCGGCCCGGACACCGUAAGGAUUGACAGAUUGAGAGCUCUUUCUUGAUUCGGUGGGUGGUGGUGCAUGGCCGUUCUUAGUUGGUGGAGCGAUCCGUCUGGUUAAUUCCGAUAACGAACGAGACCCCGGCCUACUAAAUAGUCCGCCUCGAGCCCGAGUGCUCCCGGCGAAACCCGUAGACUUCUUAGGGGGAGAAGCGGCGUCGAACAGCCGCCUGAACGGGGGCAAUAACAGGUCUGUGAUGCCCUUAGAUGUCCGGGGCCGCACGCGCGCUACACUGAAAGAGUCAGAGGGUAGAGUCCUGGCCCGACAUGGCUGGGCAAUCCGUAGCCAAACUCUAUCGUGCUAGGGACUGGGGCUUGCAAUUGUCCCCACCAACGAGGAAUUCCCAGUAAGCGCGAGUCAUCAGCUCGUGUUGAUCACGUCCCUGCCCUUUGUACACACCGCCCGUCGCUACUACCGAUUGGAUGGUUUGGUGAGGCCUUCGGACGGGCCCCGGGGCGGCGCAAGCCGCCUGUCUUGGUGCUGCCCGAAAGGAGGUCGAAC